UACAGAGGUCUCAAGCGUUGUUCGGAUUCAUUGGGCGUAAAGGGUGCGUAGGCGGCGUGGUAAGUCAAUUUGUGAAAUCUCCGAGCUUAACUCGGAACGGUCAAUUGAUACUGCUGUGCUAGAGUACAGAAGGGGCAAUCGGAAUUCUUGGUGUAGCGGUGAAAUGCGUAGAUAUCAAGAGGAACACCUGAGGUGAAGACGGGUUGCUGGGCUGAUACUGACGCUGGAUGCGCGAAAGCUAGGGUAGCAAACGGG
rnacentral:rRNA from 1 species